rnacentral:lncRNA from 1 species
GUUUUUAUAUUGCUGUGUUGGACAUCUGUGAGUCUGGAUUGCUGCCAUGUGUCUUGGUCGUUGACGUCUGGCGUCGAUGGCUUCUUCUCCACGAUCGGUUCGAGUGUAUCGAGUGUUCAUUGACCAUCUUCUUUGUCGCUCUUUGUUGUGAGAGAGAGAUGGGUUAUUCGUGAAAUGAAAAUUUGUAUGGCUCUUCUCAAUCAAAUGGUCGAGGUAAUGAUAUUUGUUCUGUAUAUGAUCGAUUCUGGGUUUCUAUUUCGUUUGCCCUGAUCGUAUUUACCAUUGUUUUGAUACCGAUGCGUUCAUUCAAUUGUUAAACAGGUGUCUGGAUUGCGAUCCAUAUUCCUUAUGAAAAAAGGUAUUGUGUUGUUGUAUCCAUGAACAAUCAACUUAUUUUAUUAUGCCUCAUUCUUGGUGCAAUUACAUGUUAUUUCUGUUCAGUUCAUGUUCAAAUUUUGCUCAAAUUUCAUUAACAGAUUAUACUCUUGGAUCCUAAUUAAAAUUGAAAUUGAGGAGUUUGUCAAUUUUUUUUUUGGCUCUAUUUAAGGGUGUUGAAAGUCUUUGAUGGUUCCAUUUGAUGGUACAUUUGCAAGAACUGCAUGUAUUAACAAUUUGUAUGUUUCAGAUCUCGACUUCGCUAUUCUGGACUCUGGAGAUGAAUCAUUUUGCAUUGGUUGAUGGAAAGCCAUAUCCUUUCGAUAUGAGAGGUGAGUUGGAUGACACUGGUGCUUUCAAGAACUUCAGUAAGUACAUUCACUUUACGUUGUUAUUACCAUGAAUCAUGAGCAUAUGAGCUAACAAAUCCUUUGAAGUUUGAACUAUAUCAGGAAAAGUUUAAGUGUUUGACAAAUCAAAUGAUGGAGCUAAUAUAUUAGAGUAUUUGCAGAAGAUUUGUUCAGUGAUAUUGGGGAAUUUUUGAUUUUGCAGGCUGGAAUUUUGUGUAAUGCGUGCAUUGGUUCAAUUUUCAGGUAUGCAUUUUAGUUGUUUAUUGGAAGAUUGAUGAUGUGUGGUGUUGAUGGAAAAAGUUAUCUGUACUUGACUUUGACUUAUUAAUAAAUCGGUUCUCUGCUAAAGAUAGUAACAAUUGUGUCAAAUUUUUACAAGAAUUUAUGACAGUACACAUUGUUCUGAUUUUUUCCAUUGAGCGUUGCCAAAAACAAUAUCCAAUUGAAUAGUAGGGAGUUCUUUGGUCAAUGAAUUGAGUACAGAAAAUUAGGGAGUUCUUUGGUCACUGUGGACUACAAAUUGGAAACAUUUGGUACUUCAGGUCUAAGAUUUCAAUAGUUUUAGAUAUAGCUUGAGGCCCAAUAUUGAAACAUUGAAAUCUUCAGUGAUCAUUAACUUACAAGGUCUGAUAGGAUUCAGUUCAAAAAGGGUCAUAUUAACAAAGGAAGUUUGGAAACUGACACCUGCAUUUCAAUAUCAAAAUGUAUGUCUAAAGUUUAGAUGAAUAUUAAAUACUUUCGAUUUUGAGUCUUAGCUGCUUGCAUUAUAAUACACGCUCAUUGCAUCCCUUUUUUGUACGUUUUGAUUUAGAUUUAUGCUGCUAUUGGAAAUGUUGGUGGAAGGGAGUUAGCUGUCAUCUUUUUAGUUCUUAUAUUUAUUUAGAACUACUCAGAAGGAUCUGUUUCAGAUGGAAGCAAUAGCUGAUAUUGUUGAUUAUUCAUGAGGGGUAAAAUACUCUUAACAUGUUUACUUAUCGUUUACUAUUUAUUUCAUUUACUGUUUGAAAAUGCUAGAUAUGUUUCUUCCACUGAAAAGUUCUCUGUGACCAGGAGACUACCAAAGGUUGCAGGAAAGUCUACAAUUGAACAUCAAGUUUGGAUAAUGAGUUUCUGAUAAUUUUGAAAUAUAUGUGAGAGCAUUAUAACUUUCAACAACAUUUAAACACUUUAAGACCAUUACUGGUUUUCAUAAAUGUGUUGUGGAGCUAUUCAAAAUAAUGAAGGACAAUAUUGAGCUUGCAGUUUUUGCAGAAGAAUUUUAAUGGGAAAUAUAUAUCAGUGUUGUCAAUGCGUAGGAAACUAUCAUUAAAGCUUUGAAUGGUGUUGAUCAUCCAUCUUUAACAAGUCUCUUCUAUUUACUUUGGCAG